GUGUGGAAAGAGUUUUAACCGGUUAGGUAACCUGAAAUCACACGAGAGGACACACAAAGAAGAAGAGCCACAUCACUGCUCCCAGUGUGGAAAGAAUUUUACCUCAUUACGCUUUCUGAAGAAUCAUGAGCAAAGACACACCGGGGAAAUGCCUUUCCGCUGCUCCCAGUGUGGAAUUAAAUUUACCUGGUUACGCCAACUGAAAUCACAUGAAAGAAUCCACACAUGAAAUGUUACGAAUGCUCCCAGUGUAGAAAGAUAUUUACCCAGUUCAGGCACCUGAAAGACUAAGGUUACACACACAGGGGAGAAGCUUUACUCAUGCUCCCAAUGUGGAGAGUGAUUUUUCACAUACUUACAAUUCAUGAGGUAACACGCACAUUGAGGUAACACACUUCUCAUCCUCAAUUCACGAGGUAACACACUUCUCAUCUUAUACUGAAAAGUGGUGCUUUGUGGUUUUGUUUAUGCUCUUUUUUCCAUAUGAAAUCAAAUUGGAGAAAACCUACUCAAAAAUACAUUUGUAUGUUUUAUGUUUUUAAAUCACAAGAUAUUAAUUGAAUAUGGAGUGUGUCAGUUUUUAUGUAGAUUCUAUGUACACUCUCUCUGUGUACACUACACUCUCUGUGUACACUACACUCUCUCUGUGUACACUACACUAUCUCUGUGAUUAAAUAGUCUUCUUUUUUUACUCUG